AUACGUAGGGGGCGAGCGUUGUCCGGAAUGAUUGGGCGUAAAGGGCGCGUAGGCGGCCCGGUAAGUCUGGAGUGAAAGUCCUGCUUUUAAGGUGGGAAUUGCUUUGGAUACUGUCGGGCUUGAGUGCAGGAGAGGUAAGUGGAAUUCCCAGUGUAGCGGUGAAAUGCGUAGAGAUUGGGAGGAACACCAGUGGCGAAGGCGACUUACUGGACUGUAACUGACGCUGAGGCGCGAAAGUGUGGGGAGCAAACAGGAUUAGAUACCCUGGUAGUCCACACUGUAAACGAUGAAUGCUAGGUGUAGGGGGUAUCGACCCCUUCUGUGCCGCAGUUAACACAAUAAGCAUUCCGCCUGGGGAGUACGGCCGCAAGGUUGAAACUCAAAGGAAUGGACGGGG
rnacentral:rRNA from 1 species